GGCUCGGUAGCUUAGUUGGUAAAGCGAAUAAGGGUCGUGAGUUCAAAUCUCACCUGAGCUG
rnacentral:tRNA from 1 species